GGGGACUGGAGGGGUCUGGGCGAAGGGGGUCACGGCCUGGGGGACGCAGCGGGCAGUCCUCGGAGUCCAGGACUGCCAGCACCUGCUGAGCGCGGCUUGAAGACCCCUGACGGGACCUAAGGUGGCCUCUUGCUCACCUUGGAGAAUAACAAUCUCUGAUGUCUGGCAAUAACAGAAAUGCUUCCAGAGGUCUUCUUUCGUCCAUCCUGACAAUGACCAGGGAAGGUCACCAGCACCUCUGGUGGGCGAGAGAUGUGAUCACUUAUUCCGUGUCCCAACCAGGGACCCGUAAGGUAAGACACAGCAAGAUACUCCUUGGAUGUGCUAAGAAAGUGAUCUUCCAUGCCCACUGCCCGCACCUUCAGCCCAGAGCAGAGUUCUUGGGUCCUUGCCCUUGAGUUCUUGCCCUUGAGACUAGCUCAGAUCUCUCCUUUGCUUUCUUUCUUUUUGUUUUUGAAGGAAUUUAGUCCCUGAUCUCCUCACCGGUUAUCACUUUCCAUUUAACAACAAGCCUUUAUUUAACACCAACUGUGUGCCCCGCACUGUGUUCACUCCCAGAGACUGUCCUUGGGCUGCUCACAGCCUGGCAAGGAACAGACUCUAAACACAUCUGGGAGAGUGGCUGCCACCAGUCAGCCUAUGGUGCCAGGUGUUCAUGCUUCCUCUUGCUCAGAACUACUUCUUUGAGCUGGAGUUCCUGUUGUGGCUCAGUGGGUUAAGAACCUGACCAGUAUCCAUGAGGUUGCGGGUUUGAUCCCUGGCCUCGUUCAGUGGGUUAAGGAGCCGGUGUUGCUGUGGCUGUGGUGUAGGAUGGCAGCUGCAGCUCUGAUUCAACUCCCUACCCUGGAAACAUCCAGAUGCCUCAGGUAUGGCCCUAAAAAAUAAUAAUAAUAAUAACUCUUUG
rnacentral:lncRNA from 1 species